GUGGGGAAUAUUGGACAAUGGGCGAAAGCCUGAUCCAGCCAUGCCGCGUGUGUGAAGAAGGUCUUCGGAUUGUAAAGCACUUUAAGUUGGGAGGAAGGGUAGUAAGCUAAUACGUUGCUACUUUGACGUUACCGACAGAAUAAGCACCGGCUAACUUCGUGCCAGCAGCCGCGGUAAUACGAAGGGUGCAAGCGUUAAUCGGAAUUACUGGGCGUAAAGCGCGCGUAGGUGGUUCAGUAAGUUGGAAGUGAAAUCCCCGGGCUCAACAUGGGAACUGCCUCCAAAACUGCAUGACUAGAGUACUGUAGAGGGUAGUGGAAUUUCCUGUGUAGCGGUGAAAUGCGUAGAUAUAGGAAGGAACACCAGUGGCGAAGGCGACUACCUGGACUGAUACUGACACUGAGGUGCGAAAGCGUGGGGAGCAAACAGGAUUAGAUACCCCUGUAGUCC
rnacentral:rRNA from 1 species